rnacentral:lncRNA from 1 species
GAUAAAAGUUGCAUGCAUCUGUCUAUAAACUGAUUCUGUUAAUCGCCCGAACAGCAGCUGAUAUUGAAUUGUUUAAGUUGCAUUAUGUAUCAGUUUAUAUAAACCUUGCGGUCUGAACUCAUAUUUCAGCUUUAGCAUGUAGCCUAUAAGUGCAAUAAUACCAAAUGUAACGCAAAUAAGUCAAUAUUCAGGUCAUCUUUAAC